UGAACGGCUGGCGGCGUGCCUAAUACAUGCAAGUAGAACGACUGAAGGAAGGAGCUUGCUCUUUUCCGGAUGAGUUGCGAACGGGUGAGUAACGCGUAGGUAACCUGCCUGGUAGCGGGGGAUAACUAUUGGAAACGAUAGCUAAUACCGCAUAACAGUAGAUAUUGCAUGAUAUCUGCUUGAAAGGGGCAAAUUGCUCCACUACCAGAUGGACCUGCGUUGUAUUAGCUAGUUGGUGAGGUAACGGCUCACCAAGGCGACGAUACAUAGCCGACCUGAGAGGGUGAUCGGCCACACUGGGACUGAGACACGGCCCAGACUCCUACGGGAGGCAGCAGUAGGGAAUCUUCGGCAAUGGACGGAAGUCUGACCGAGCAACGCCGCGUGAGUGAAGAAGGUUUUCGGAUCGUAAAGCUCUGUCGUAAGAGAAGAACGAGUGUGAGAGUGGAAAGUUCACACUGUGACGGUAUCUUACCAGAAAGGGACGGCUAACUACGUG
rnacentral:rRNA from 1 species